AAACACGUACGUAGUUAAUUGGAUUCUAAUUUAGAUGUUACGGACACUGACACGGAAUAUGAGACACAACAGGACUUAGACAUCGCAACUGGACAACUUUCAAAAAAUUAGAACAUGGACAAGAAAUUAAGACCGCUAAUAAAAUAUAAUAUUAUUAAUAUAAUAAUAUAUUUUUAUUAUAUAUAAAAUAUUAAUUUUGAUAAAGUAUUAUUAUAUUUCUCGUACGAAUGAAAUUAAUAAAAUUUUUAUUGAUAGUUCAUAUAUUUUAAAUUUUAUAUUUAUCAUACAUAAUUUAUUUAUAUUACAAAAAAAAAAUCAUAGGCAUUAAUCGAAAAGUUAAAAUAUUUUUUUUAUCGUACAUUACAUAUGCAUAGAAAAAAUAAAAUAAAAAUAGAUAUAUAUAUAUAUUUUAGUUGUAUGCACUGUGGAUCGACAUUAAACGAGCGUCUGAGAAGUGUCCACGUCAGACAUGUGUCCGACACGGACACACGCGUGUCCGACACGAACACGCAAGGUUUAUAGAAGUGUCCAUUAUACGUAGAUUCUAAUUUUAAAUAUUAAUUAUCAAAGAUGAAAGCGUGUAAAACUUAUCCUAACAAUCAUCCAUUUGGAUUGGACUAUUAUGCUAAUUUUUUGAAUCAAUUAAUGACUUUUUAAUUUUUAUAUUUGAAUGCAUUGUUUAUCAUUACGGAUUUAGUUUAGAUAUUUUAUAUAAUUUGCGUAACUAUAAAAUUAUUAAAAUAAAUAAUUAGUUUAAAUUUUGUAUCUAAAAGUCUACCAAAUCACUUAAACAAAUUGGAAGAUUGAAUAGCAAACCUAAAAUUUUAAAAGUUUGAGCAAUCGAAUUAAAAUGGUUUAUAGUUCUAGUAAAUUUUAAGGCUAUUUGGUUUCAAGAAAAAAU
rnacentral:lncRNA from 1 species